rnacentral:lncRNA from 1 species
GCAAUUGAUUUGCGGGUGAUGGGGUUCUUCCAGGUUGAAAAGGAGUUAUUAAUACAUAUCCGAAUCAACAGCAUCAAUAUACUUUCAGACUACAAAAUCACAAUUUAUCCAAAGCCAAACUGGAACAAGUCAAAAAAGAAAUCCAAUAAAACGACAUUUAAAUGGGAACCAACCUGGACUUUUAUCUGCAUUUCAUUGUUUUCUUUUUUCCAUUUGAGUUGGAAACCUGCCUGACGUUGCUGGACAGCAAAUAACUAAAUUUGUGCCAACCUUAAAACCAGAGAAAGGAAUAAGCGAUUGGGCCAAUGUUUUUAGAUUUUCAUUUACUUUGCUUCACUUCGAUUCCCAGCUGUAAAUCGACCUCCAGCUUCAGGCCCCACCAACCAUUUUUUAUCAACGUUAACAUUCUUCUUUUAUACUUAGG